rnacentral:lncRNA from 12 species
UUCAGAAGAGCUGGGAAAUGUUUGCAACCUUGGGGGUGAUGAUGGUAAAGCUCGCUACAUAAUUUCUGAGUGCUGCGGGAGAUACAUCCUCCCAUCAUAACAUUUUUAUGGCGAGUUUAAUGUUCGGCUCAUCUGGAAUAGGCUGUGAGAGCCACACUACAGGAAGCUGUCAGGGUUACUGCCGAUUUUUUAUUCUCUUUGGAGAAGAAGAAAACACAGGCUUCUGUCCUCAGUGGAUUCUGUGAUUUGUGAAGCACUGAAAGAGAUCAGAUUUCUGCAGAAAAGGAAUAUCCAAUGGGAAACCCACUUCUUUUCCAAACGGGCAAGACCCUGCAUUUUACACGCUACCCCACAUCGUGGGCGCUGCAAAACGGCGCCAGCCCGAGAAGGCUGCACUGCCCGACCCUUCACAAGCAGAAUACCAGCAGGGGAAAAGGAGGGGAGGAAUUUAUUGCUGCUCUUUGAGUGCUGCAGCCACUCACUCUCUUCUGCCACAUGGAGCACGGGAGGGGGCAGAGACAUGCUUCUGAGCCCCCCCUUUGUCCUGCCCCUUCCCCGCCUCCUCUCUGAAGAGUUGCUCCUGUGUUCCCUGGAGCAAAGAGGCUGUGAUUCUUGGCAGGCUUCACGUCAGCUACUCAGGUCAGGGGGAAGUCAUUACUUCCUCCUCCCACACUGCUCAGUCGUGUUAGGUUAG